rnacentral:rRNA from 1 species
UAUUUGUAAACCGUAACGUUAGGAGUAUAAUGGGGUUUAGGUUAGGGCGGGAACGGGGUCGGAGUAACGACGUCGGGCGAACCUACGCCUUACACAGGGGAGUAACACUUAGAAAUAAGGUGCUAAAACCGACCAUAAGCGCACAGCUUCGCAUGAAGCGGUGUGAAAACUCCGGUGGUGUAAGAUGGACCCGCGUCUGAUUAGCUUGUUGGCGGGGUAACGGCCCGACCAAGGCGACGAUCAGUAGCCGGCCGUGAGAGGGCGGACGGCCACAUUGGGACUGAGACACGGCCCAGACUCCUACGGGAGGCAGCAGUGGGGAAUAUUGCACAAUGGGGGAAACCCUGAUGCAGCGACGCCGCGUGAGUGAAGAAGUAAUUCGUUACGUAAAGCUCUAUCAGCAGGGAAGAAAAUGACGGUACCUGAGUAAGAAGCCCCGGCUAACUACGUG